AUUGAACGCUGGCGGCAGGCCUAACACAUGCAAGUCGAGCGGAUGAAGAGAGCUUGCUCUCUGAUUUAGCGGCGGACGGGUGAGUAAUGCCUAGGAAUCUGCCUGGUAGUGGGGGAUAACGUUCCGAAAGGAACGCUAAUACCGCGUACGUCCUACGGGAGAAAGCAGGGGACCUUCGGGCCGUGCGCUAUCAGAUGCGCCUAGGUCGGAUUAGCUGGUUGGUGAGGUAAUGGCGCACCAAGGAGAGGAUCCGUACCGGGUCUGAGAGGAUGAUCAGUCACACUGGAACUGAGAAACGGUCCAGACUCCUACGGGAGGCAGCAGUGGGGAAUAUUGGACAAUGGGCGAAAGCCUGAUCCAGCCAUGCCGCGUGUGUGAAGAAGGUCUUCGGAUUGUAAAGCACUUUAAGUUGGGAGGAAGGGCAGUAAGUUAAUACCUUGCUGUUUUGACGUUACCGACAGAAUAAGCACCGGCUAACUUCGUGCCAGCAGCCGCCGUAA
rnacentral:rRNA from 1 species